CCUACGGGUGGCAGCAGUGAGGAAUAUUGGUCAAUGGGCGUAAGCCUGAACCAGCCAAGUCGCGUGCGGGAUGAAGGUUCUAUGGAUCGUAAACCUCUUUUAUAAGGGAAUAAAGUGCGGGACGUGUCCCGUUUUGUAUGUACCUUAUGAAUAAGGAUCGGCUAACGUCGGGCCAGCAGCCCCGGUAAUAGGGAGGAUCCGAGCGUUAUCCGGAUUUAUUGGGUUUAAAGGGUGCGUAGGCGGCCUUUUAUGUCAGUGGUGAAAGUCUGUGGCUCAACCAUAGAAUUGCCGUUGAAACUGGGAGGCUUGAGUAAGUUUGAGGUAGGCGGAAUGCGAGGUGUAGCGGUGAAAUGCUUAGAUAUCACGCAGAACCCCGAUUGCGAAGGCAGCCUGCCGAGCCAUGACUGACGCUGAUGCACGAAAGCGUGGGGAUCAAACAGGAUUAGAUACCCCGGUAGUC
rnacentral:rRNA from 1 species